GAUGAACGCUGGCGGCGUGCCUAAUACAUGCAAGUCGAGCGAACGGACGAGAAGCUUGCUUCUCUGAUGUUAGCGGCGGACGGGUGAGUAACACGUGGAUAACCUACCUAUAAGACUGGGAUAACUUCGGGAAACCGUAGCUAAUACCGGAUAAUAUUUUGAACCGCAUGGUUCAAAAGUGAAAGACGGUCUUGCUGUCACUUAUAGAUGGAUCCGCGCUGCAUUAGCUAGUUGGUAAGGUAACGGCUUACCAAGGCAACGAUGCAUAGCCGACCUGAGAGGGUGAUCGGCCACCCUGGAACUUGGACACGGUCCAGACUCCUACGGGAGGCAGCAGUAGGGAAUCUUCCGCAAUGGGCGAAAGCCUGACGGGACAACGCCGCGUUAGUGAUGAAGGUCUUCGGAUCGUAAAACUCUGUUAUUUGGGAAAAACAUAUGUGUAAGUAACUGUUCACAUCUUGACGGUACCUUAUCAGAAAGCCACGGCUAACUACGUG
rnacentral:rRNA from 1 species